rnacentral:rRNA from 1 species
GUACACGCUGUGACUAGCAUAUCAAUAAGCGGAGGAAAAGAAACUAACAAGGAUUCCCCUAGUAACGGCGAGUGAAGCGGGAAGAGCUCAAAUUUGAAAUCUUAAAGGGUUUCCCUUUACGAAUUGUAGUUUAAAGAAGUGUUUUCUGUUGAGGUUUUGGUAAAAGUUCUUUGGAAUAGGACAUCAUAGAGGGUGAGAAUCCCGUAUUUGACCUUUACUUUCAACUUUGUGAUACACUUUCAAAGAGUCGGAUUGUUUGGGAAUGCAGUCCAAAAUGGGUGGUAAAUUUCAUCUAAAGCUAAAUAUUGGCGAGAGACCGAUAGCGAACAAGUACCGUGAGGGAAAGAUGAAAAGAACUUUGAAAAGAGAGUUAAACAGUACGUGAAAUUGUCAAAAGGGAAGCGUUUGACACCAGUGUUGUUUUUCUGAAAAUCAAUUAAAGAACUGUUUAUGCUAAGCUGUUUAGACUUUAUCAGCUAUCUGUUUAGUUUUGAGCUUUUCUUUAAUGCACUUUUCAGUUAACAAGUCAACAUCAAUUUCUUUUGCUGUAAAAAAGCUUGAGGAAGGUGGCUUGAGAUUCGUCUUAAGUGUUUAUAGCCUCUUGCCUAUGCAGUCGGAGAGAUUGAGGUCUGCAGCGUAGAUCCUUCGGGGCUAAAUGCAUUUGUGCUAAGUUAUAGCAUUUUCAUAGACAACUUGUUGACUAUGAUUUGUCUUGUAGCUCACUCGCUUAUGUUAUUUUACCUACGCUUAGGAUGUUGACGAGACUGUCGAUCUC